GCGCCUGUAGCUCAACUGGAUAGAGCACCAGUCUACGGAACUGGGUGUUGCAGGUUCAAAUCCUGCCAGGCGCG
rnacentral:tRNA from 1 species